rnacentral:rRNA from 1 species
CGCUGGCGGUAGGCCUGACACAUGCAAGUCGAACGGCAGCACAGUAAGAGCUUGCUCUUACGGGUGGCGAGUGGCGGACGGGUGAGGAAUACAUCGGAAUCUACUUUUUCGUGGGGGAUAACGUAGGGAAACUUACGCUAAUACCGCAUACGACCUACGGGUGAAAGCAGGGGAUCUUCGGACCUUGCGCGAUUGAAUGAGCCGAUGUCGGAUUAGCUAGUUGGCGGGGUAAAGGCCCACCAAGGCGACGAUCCGUAGCUGGUCUGAGAGGAUGAUCAGCCACACUGGAACUGAGACACGGUCCAGACUCCUACGGGAGGCAGCAGUGGGGAAUAUUGGACAAUGGGCGCAAGCCUGAUCCAGCCAUACCGCGUGGGUGAAGAAGGCCUUCGGGUUGUAAAGCCCUUUUGUUGGGAAAGAAAAGCAGCAGGUUAAUACCCCGCUGUUCUGACGGUACCCAAAGAAUAAGCACCGGCUAACUUCGUG